rnacentral:rRNA from 1 species
AACCAGACUCCUACGGGAGGCAGCAGUGAGGAAUAUUGGUCAAUGGGAGAGAUCCUGAACCAGCCAAGCCGCGUGAGGGAAGACGGCCCUAUGGGUUGUAAACCUCUUUUGUCGGAGAACAAAACCCGGGACGUGUCCCGGACUGCGUGUAUCCGAAGAAAAAGCAUCGGCUAACUCCGUGCCAGCAGCCGCGGUAAUACGGAGGAUGCGAGCGUUAUCCGGAUUUAUUGGGUUUAAAGGGUGCGUAGGCGGUCCGUUAAGUCAGCGGUAAAAUCGCGGGGCUCAACCUCGCUCCGCCGUUGAAACUGGCGUUCUUGAGUGGGCGAGAAGUAUGCGGAAUGCGUGGUGUAGCGGUGAAAUGCAUAGAUAUCACGCAGAACUCCGAUUGCGAAGGCAGCGCACCGGCGCCCUACUGACGCUCAGGCACGAAAGCGUGGGUAUCGAACAGGAUUAGAUACCCUGGUAA